rnacentral:rRNA from 1 species
AGUGAACGCUGGCGGUAGGCCUAACACAUGCAAGUCGAACGGCAGCACAGUAAGAGCUUGCUCUUACGGGUGGCGAGUGGCGGACGGGUGAGGAAUACAUCGGAAUCUACUUUUUCGUGGGGGAUAACGUAGGGAAACUUACGCUAAUACCGCAUACGACCUACGGGUGAAAGCAGGGGAUCUUCGGACCUUUCGCGAUUGAAUGAGCCGAUGUCGGAUUAGCUAGUUGGCGGGGUAAAGGCACACCAAGGCGACGAUCCGUAGCUGGUCUGAGAGGAUGAUCAGCCACACUGGGACUGAGACACGGUCCAGACUCCUACGGGAGGCAGCAGUAGGGAAUAUUGGACAAUGGGCGCAAGCCUGAUCCAGCCAUACCGCGUGGGUGAAGAAGGCCUUCGGGUUGUAAAGCCCUUUUGUUGGGAAAGAAAAGCAGCAGGUUAAUACCCCGCUGUUCUGACGGUACCCAAAGAAUAAGCACCGGCUAACUUCGUG